rnacentral:rRNA from 1 species
UACGUAGGGAGCAAGCGUUGUCCGGAAUCAUUUGGCGUAAAGCGCGCGUAGGUGGCCCCGUAAGUCCGCUGUGAAAGUCAAAGGCUCAACCUUUGAAAGCCGGUGGAUACUGUGGGACUAGAGUACGGAAGAGGCGAGUGGAAUUCCUGGUGUAGCGGUGGAAUGCGCAGAUAUCAGGAGGAACACCAAUAGCGAAGGCAGCUCGCUGGGACGUUACUGACACUGAGGCGCGAAAGCGUGGGGAGCGAACAGG